UUCACUUUUAGUUAGUAUAUAAAAGAAGAGGACGGUGCCAUGUCCAUCUGAGACUAUCAUGAGUAUUCACGAGCACCUUCUUUUCAGUCCAUCGGCAAUGCCAUCCAACUGGAGGACAUCAUCUAUCAGGCACUGCACCAAGCACUGGCCGUCUCAAACAAACGUCCAUUUCUCCAGGCCUCAACAGAGCAGCGAGCAGGUGACUUUAGCUGCCGAUGCGUGCAAGCCCCCGUUCAGAUCGGGAAACGGCAGCGCUGUUAGGCAGCAGCACACGUUAUUGGCAGGCACGUCCGAGUGUUCCUGUGCAUCUCUAUCUAUCUAUCUGGCCAUGCUGCUGAACCGUCCGAGAUCGCUUUUGCUUCGCUGAGUCGCGUCUCGUCUGCCUGUCCAGAGAUGGAGCAAACUGACGCAGACACUUCACAGUUUAUUAUUGUUUUUUUUUCCAGAGGAAGAAAAUAAUAGUAUCCAUUAGUUUGGGGAAUAAUUGUUCAAUCAUGCAUGCAGGCAUUCGGGGGAAGGGAAGCCUUGCUGAAAUGGCGGGUCAGAUGAUGCAGGCUUGAAGCGUAGUCAAUGGAGCAGAAACUCGGUUGUCUGAAACAUCCAGCGGUUCUUUCUCUCGUGCCCCCGCCCCUUCAAGAGCUGAAACCGCGUCUACGAUCCUCAGCCUCUCACCCCUGUUGGUUUCUGGAAUCCAUCACGUCGCUAUCGGAUUAUUACAGCUCCAUCUGCUUGGAGAGCAAGAGCUCCAUGCAUCCAGCGCAUGUGCAUGUACCAUGAACAUUUUGCAGACGCACACGCGAUGCCUCUGACUUCAGUCGGAUAGCGAUGCGUUUACAUCUCGUGUUGGGAUGUUCAUGUAUCUACUUCAAUGAUUCAAUCUAUGUGUGUGAUGAAGUGGAUCAGCAUGAAAUCCAACUUGGACUCUGUAUUAAUCUAUUCCAAUGCAUAGUAUGUUGCAUUGCA